UGAGGAAUAUUGGGCAAUGCCCGAAAGCCUGACCCAGCAACGCCGCGUGAGGGAUGAAGUAUUUCGGUAUGUAAACCUCGAAAGAAUGGGAAGAAUAAAUGACGGUACCAUUUAUAAGCUCCGGCUAACUACGUGCCAGCAGCCGCGGUAAUACGUAGGGAGCAAGCGUUGUUCGGAUUUACUGGGCGUAAAGGGCGCGUAGGCGGCGCGGUAAGUCACUUGUGAAAUCUCUGAGCUUAACUCAGAACGGCCAAGUGAUACUGCUGUGCUAGAGUGCGGAAGAGGCAACCGGAAUUCUUGGUGUAGCGGUGAAAUGCGUAGAUAUCAAGAGGAACACCUGAGGCGAAGGCGGGUUGCUGGGCCGACACUGACGUUGAUGCGCGAAAGCCAGGGGAGCAAACG
rnacentral:rRNA from 1 species